UACGUAGGGGGCAAGCGUUGUCCGGAAUCAUUGGGCGUAAAGAGCGUGUAGGCGGCUCGAUAAGUCUGCUGUGAAAGUCCAGGGCUCAACCCUGGAAGGCCGGUGGAAACUGUCGGGCUAGAGUCCGGAAGAGGCGAGUGGAAUUCCCGGUGUAGCGGUGAAAUGCGUAGAUAUCUGGAGGAACACCGGUGGCGAAGGCGGUUCUCUGGGACGGUACUGACGCUGAGACGCGAAAGCGUGGGGAGCGAACAGG
rnacentral:rRNA from 1 species